ensembl:lncRNA
CAUAACUGCAUUUCACAACAUGAGAAACAGAGUCUACUACAGGCACCAUUUCUUGUAAAUCAGCUGGUUUGCCGUUGGUAGAUUCCACACUCCCGACGGGAAUAAAAGCCAGGCUUUCUACAACAGGGUGCACACACUUUCAGUGAAGACCAGACCCAGAAAGCAAUCGUUGGCGUGCCGCCAGUGUUUUUGCUGCGGGCGGGCCACCGGCGGCUAUAAUGUCGUACAGCCAGCGGGCCACCAGCUUUUGCCGCUUUUCUCUUGAUUUCAAUUUGCAUCUCAGGCGGCUUUCCACCAGCGGCCCGACUGCGUUACGCUAGCGGCUAGCUGUCGAAAAGAGGGCAUGCGCUUUAGUCUGCUGUAUCUGCUUGUGUUGCCAUUUUCUUCCAGCAGAUGCUAUUGUACCCCUUUUAUUCUUGUAAUGAUUAUUUGAUUUAUUUUAAUAUUGUAAAAUCUUAGUGUACAGAAUUUUGGUCAACAAUUGGUAGUUUAUAAAUAAAAUAGACUUUGACUAUUGCAUUGCUUGUGUAAAGGACCUUAGACAUGUACAGUAAACACCUCUCGCCAUUGCUUGCCAUAAUAUUUUCACGAACUAAUGGCCAUUUUACAUUACAUGGUACCAGCUCAACUCGUCUAUAGCCUCGAUUUUAAUGCUUCAUGGGGGACAGUUCUUUACUGUGUUUAAACACCGCCGUGUCCGUAGAUGGCGUUUAAGUAGCGAAUUGCGCAUGUGUAAGGCAAGACCUUACACAUGCGCAGGACAGUCGCCAUUUGGAUCCCACGCUGUAGUACCGCGAAAACUAGAAAGAACAUUAAUUUUAGCGACUUGGUUCUCUUGUCAACUCUUGUUCAAAGUGUAUAAGCUAUAUGCUCUGAAUUGGACUAUACAACACGUGGAUUAUCACAUUGUUUUAUUACAAUUUUAUGAACUCCCGAAACAAACGAAGAUCAAGGAUUUUUUUGGACAUCAGACCGAAAAUUGUUGAACGCCGAGUCACAUACUUAGGGUGAGUUCUGUUCUGCGAUAUUAUAAAUAACUAGCGUUAAGUGUUGUUAAGAUACUGAGUAAUAACGUAAUGACUGUUUGCAAUAUUCUAUUAACAUUCUAAUUAUUUAGUCAAGUUACUGUAGCUGAACACAAGUUCAAGCCAUUGGCGGGAAAACAAGUUAUAGAAACUGAGCUUGGAAAAAACAGCGUUGUCCUGAGAUUAAAUACCUACAGUAACCCUUGUUUCUUCUUGUGUCCACAAGUUUGGUUGCUUAAUAUUUUUUUGUUUCUUCGUUUAUCCUCAAGUUCGGAUGUUUUGUGCUUCUUCGCCUAUCAACAGUUGAACAGGUAUGGUAACAUCGUUAGCUAACUUGUCUAAGUCGUGUUUCUUAGGGUAUCAACAAGUUAGAAUUGUAUAAUAUGUGACUCCUUGUAACUUGUAACUCCUUGUAGCAUGUUGCUUCCAAUUUUAUUUGUCAAUUUCAAUUUAUUUUUAAGGGCAAAAAGGCAGAGGUAGGGGGAAGUUUUAGCUCUGUACAGAACAUUUGGAGAAGAUCAAGUGGCUGACUGAAGAGAAGGUCAAGCUGAGGGCACAGCUGGCUCUACAAUCAGUUAAAAACAAGACUUUAGUUACGCUAGCAUCUUGUCUUAAUGAAACAGCAUUUGUUUGAACAUGAGCCCUUUACUGAAAUGCAAUACUGUACAGCCUUUCUGAAAUUACAUGUAUAGGGCAGUUUUGUUUAUUUCACUAUUAAGCUAUUGACAUUUCAUUGUGCUUUUUAGCUUCUGAUAAACGUCUGACUUGAAAAGAAUGUCAAGCCGAGGGCACAGCUGCCUCUACAAUCAGAAGCCAUAAGGAAGAAUCUUUCCAACCGGGAUGCCACUGAUGAGGCGGUCCAGAACCAGGUCCCCAGGUACCAGAAAGGGGCAGCUGACCGUGCAGGUGGGAGAUGUCGCGGCGGUACAAGGGACCUGUCGUGAAUAUGAAUGACAUCUCCAGCACAACUAAUAUUGCUGCUAAGCUGCAGUACUGUAUUUCUUUUUUUUUUCUUUUUUACUGCUGCUAUGUACAGUGUUAUAUAUAUGAUUGCAUUAUCCUCUUAAUAUAUUUAUAGCUCUGUGUGAACUUUCUUAAUUCUGACUGUAGUUGUAGUGUUAUGCCACCAUUCAUAAUCUUAAUGCCCUGAUGUAUCUGAUAUUCAAUAACUAUUGUUUGCUGCUAGGUCAUACUUAUGUAUAUUACUGCCAUUCUGGCCCUUGUUUAUUUUGUAUUGUAUUAUGUUUAUUUUGUACUUCCACAUUAAAAUACUGUAUAUUUACUAUCUGUUACUGGACACGUUUUCUUGCACUAUCUGAUUUUGUAAAAUGUUUUUUUCAAUUCAUUUGCACAUGUUUAUUUUGUAUUCUUGC